CGCCACCACUGCCUCUAAACAUUGACAGAUCGAAUGGUGUCCUUGUCGCACACUAUUGCUUUCCUUGUCUAGCGUCAUUAGACAAGGAGGGCACUAGCAUGCGACAAGGAGAGACAUAUAAGCGCGUUAGACAAGGAAAGCGACAGCGUGCGACAAGGACAGACAUAUGCGUGCGAUAGACAAGGAGAGAAACAGCGUGCGACAAGGACAGACAUAUACGUGCGUUAGACAAGGAGGAUAAUACUGUUUAACAAGGACAGACAUAUUCGCGCGGUAGACAAAGAGAGCGAUAAUGUGCGACAAGGACAACAAUAUAAAUUAGUUCCCUCGUUUCACCGUUACGCGACGCUAGUAUUUUAUUGCCUGUAGCGGGUAACACAUCCAGUCUUUCCUUAGUGUAUCCGUUCCAAAGCACAAAUGUUACAAUUCGUAAGUGGAUGCUGCUUAGGUACGGAUGAAGUGCGAUUUUUAGAUUAAACGUGCAGCGUGCGGAACAGAUCUAGGAUAGAUACCGUUUCUUAGCCCAAGUUCCUAAUAAACCGAACGUCUGAGUUAUAUAUAGCUGUAUCUAUGUACAAAAAUGAAAAGUCGCAUGCAAGAGCAAAGGAAGCAGUUCCUUCUCUCAGUAACCGACCCACUGGGUUUUGUUUGUUCUGCGUGACAAUCUCAACCAAUAGGUAUUCUUAAAUUUAAGAAUGGAUUGAAAACAACCAACCAGACCCACAUUCUUUUCGGAAAACUUCUCAUCUCUGCACGACACAUGUUGAUGCAAGCAAUGCAAUAUAAGUCAUCGUUUUGAAUCUUGAGAAUAUUUA